ACCCGGAGAACUGAAACAUCUUAGUACCCGGAGGAAGAGAAAGAAAAUUCGAUUCCCUUAGUAGCGGCGAGCGAAACGGGAAGAGCCCAAACCAACAAGCUUGCUUGUUGGGGUUGUAGGACACUCUAUACGGAGUUACAAAGGACGACAUUAGACGAAUCAUCUGGAAAGAUGAAUCAAAGAAGGUAAUAAUCCUGUAGUCGAAAAUGUUGUCUCUCUUGAGUGGAUCCUGAGUACGACGGAGCACGUGAAAUUCCGUCGGAAUCUGGGAGGACCAUCUCCUAAGGCUAAAUACUCUCUAGUGACCGAUAGUGAACCAGUACCGUGAGGGAAAGGUGAAAAGCACCCCGGAAGGGGAGUGAAAUAGAACCUGAAACCGUGUGCUUACAAGUAGUCAGAGCCCGUUAAUGGGUGAUGGCGUGCCUUUUGUAGAAUGAACCGGCGAGUUACGAUUUGAUGCAAGGUUAAGCAGUAAAUGUGGAGCCGUAGCGAAAGCGAGUCUGAAUAGGGCGUUUAGUAUUUGGUCGUAGACCCGAAACCAGGUGAUCUACCCUUGGUCAGGUUGAAGUUCAGGUAACACUGAAUGGAGGACCGAACCGACUUACGUUGAAAAGUGAGCGGAUGAACUGAGGGUAGCGGAGAAAUUCCAAUCGAACCUGGAGAUAGCUGGUUCUCUCCGAAAUAGCUUUAGGGCUAGCCUCAAGUGAUGAUUAUUGGAGGUAGAGCACUGUUUGGACGAGGGGCCCCUCUCGGGUUACCGAAUUCAGACAAACUCCGAAUGCCAAUUAAUUUAACUUGGGAGUCAGAACAUGGGUGAUAAGGUCCGUGUUCGAAAGGGAAACAGCCCAGACCACCAGCUAAGGUCCCAAAAUAUAUGUUAAGUGGAAAAGGAUGUGGCGUUGCCCAGACAACUAGGAUGUUGGCUUAGAAGCAGCCAUCAUUUAAAGAGUGCGUAAUAGCUCACUAGUCGAGUGACACUGCGCCGAAAAUGUACCGGGGCUAAACAUAUUACCGAAGCUGUGGAUUGUCCUUUGGACAAUGGUAGGAGAGCGUUCUAAGGGCGUUGAAGCAUGAUCGUAAGGACAUGUGGAGCGCUUAGAAGUGAGAAUGCCGGUGUGAGUAGCGAAAGACGGGUGAGAAUCCCGUCCACCGAUUGACUAAGGUUUCCAGAGGAAGGCUCGUCCGCUCUGGGUUAGUCGGGUCCUAAGCUGAGGCCGACAGGCGUAGGCGAUGGAUAACAGGUUGAUAUUCCUGUACCACCUAUAAUCGUUUUAAUCGAUGGGGGGACGCAGUAGGAUAGGCGAAGCGUGCGAUUGGAUUGCACGUCUAAGCAAUAAGGCUGAGUAUUAGGCAAAUCCGGUACUCGUUAAGGCUGAGCUGUGAUGGGGAGAAGACAUUGUGUCUUCGAGUCGUUGAUUUCACACUGCCGAGAAAAGCCUCUAGAUAGAAAAUAGGUGCCCGUACCGCAAACCGACACAGGUAGUCAAGAUGAGAAUUCUAAGGUGAGCGAGCGAACUCUCGUUAAGGAACUCGGCAAAAUGACCCCGUAACUUCGGGAGAAGGGGUGCUCUUUAGGGUUAACGCCCAGAAGAGCCGCAGUGAAUAGGCCCAAGCGACUGUUUAUCAAAAACACAGGUCUCUGCUAAACCGUAAGGUGAUGUAUAGGGGCUGACGCCUGCCCGGUGCUGGAAGGUUAAGAGGAGUGGUUAGCUUCUGCGAAGCUACGAAUCGAAGCCCCAGUAAACGGCGGCCGUAACUAUAACGGUCCUAAGGUAGCGAAAUUCCUUGUCGGGUAAGUUCCGACCCGCACGAAAGGCGUAACGAUUUGGGCACUGUCUCAACGAGAGACUCGGUGAAAUCAUAGUACCUGUGAAGAUGCAGGUUACCCGCGACAGGACGGAAAGACCCCGUGGAGCUUUACUGUAGCCUGAUAUUGAAAUUCGGCACAGCUUGUACAGGAUAGGUAGGAGCCUUUGAAACGUGAGCGCUAGCUUACGUGGAGGCGCUGGUGGGAUACUACCCUAGCUGUGUUGGCUUUCUAACCCGCACCACUUAUCGUGGUGGGAGACAGUGUCAGGCGGGCAGUUUGACUGGGGCGGUCGCCUCCUAAAAGGUAACGGAGGCGCUCAAAGGUUCCCUCAGAAUGGUUGGAAAUCAUUCAUAGAGUGUAAAGGCAUAAGGGAGCUUGACUGCGAGACCUACAAGUCGAGCAGGGUCGAAAGACGGACUUAGUGAUCCGGUGGUUCCGCAUGGAAGGGCCAUCGCUCAACGGAUAAAAGCUACCCCGGGGAUAACAGGCUUAUCUCCCCCAAGAGUUCACAUCGACGGGGAGGUUUGGCACCUCGAUGUCGGCUCAUCGCAUCCUGGGGCUGUAGUCGGUCCCAAGGGUUGGGCUGUUCGCCCAUUAAAGCGGUACGCGAGCUGGGUUCAGAACGUCGUGAGACAGUUCGGUCCCUAUCCGUCGUGGGCGUAGGAAAUUUGAGAGGAGCUGUCCUUAGUACGAGAGGACCGGGAUGGACAUACCUCUGGUGUACCAGUUGUCGUGCCAACGGCAUAGCUGGGUAGCUAUGUGUGGACGGGAUAAGUGCUGAAAGCAUCUAAGCAUGAAGCCCCCCUCAAGAUGAGAUUUCCCAACUUCGGUUAUAAGAUCCCUCAAAGAUGAUGAGGUUAAUAGGUUCGAGGUGGAAGCAUGGUGACAUGUGGAGCUGACGAAUACUAAUCGAUCGAAGACUUAAUCAA
rnacentral:rRNA from 9 species